rnacentral:rRNA from 1 species
UCCUACGGGAGGCAGCAGUGGGGAAUUUUGGACAAUGGGCGAAAGCCUGAUCCAGCAAUGCCGCGUGUGUGAAGAUGGCCUUCGGGUUGUAAAGCACUUUUGUCCGGAAAGAAAUGGCUCUGGUUAAUACCUGGGGUCGAUGACGGUACCGGAAGAAUAAGGACCGGCUAACUACGUGCCAGCAGCCGCGGUAAUACGUAGGGUCCAAGCGUUAAUCGGAAUUACUGGGCGUAAAGCGUGCGCAGGCGGUUGUGCAAGACCGAUGUGAAAUCCCCGAGCUUAACUUGGGAAUUGCAUUGGUGACUGCACGGCUAGAGUGUGUCAGAGGGGGGUAGAAUUCCACGUGUAGCAGUGAAAUGCGUAGAGAUGUGGAGGAAUACCGAUGGCGAAGGCAGCCCCCUGGGGCUAACACUGAUGCUCAUGCACAUAAGCGUGGGG